rnacentral:rRNA from 1 species
GAUGAACGCUGGCGGCGUGCUUAACACAUGCAAGUCGAACGAAGCACUUUAUUUGAUUUCCUUCGGGACUGAUUAUUUUGUGACUGAGUGGCGGACGGGUGAGUAACGCGUGGGUAACCUGCCUUGUACAGGGGGAUAACAGUUGGAAACGGCUGCUAAUACCGCAUAAGCGCACAGCAUCGCAUGAUGCAGUGUGAAAAACUCCGGUGGUAUAAGAUGGACCCGCGUUGGAUUAGCUAGUUGGUGAGGUAACGGCCCACCAAGGCGACGAUCCAUAGCCGGCCUGAGAGGGUCACCGGCCACAUUGGGACUGAGGCACGGCCCAAACUCCUACGGGAGGCAGCAGUGGGGAAUAUUGCACAAUGGGCGAAAGCCUGAUGCAGCGACGCCGCGUGAGCGAAGAAGUAUUUGGGUAUGUAAAGCUCUAUCAGCAGGGAAGAUAAUGACGGUACCUGACUAAGAAGCACCGGCUAAAUACGUG